rnacentral:rRNA from 1 species
GUGGGGAAUAUUGGACAAUGGGGGGAACCCUGAUCCAGCCAUGUCGCGUGUGUGAAGAAGGCCUUUUGGUUGUAAAGCACUUUAAGCGAGGAGGAGGCUACCGAGAUUAAUACUCUUGGAUAGUGGACGUUACUCGCAGAAUAAGCACCGGCUAACUCUGUGCCAGCAGCCGCGGUAAUACAGAGGGUGCAAGCGUUAAUCGGAUUUACUGGGCGUAAAGCGCGCGUAGGUGGCCAAUUAAGUCAAAUGUGAAAUCCCCGAGCUUAACUUGGGAAUUGCAUUCGAUACUGGGUGGCUAGAGUAUGGGAGAGGAUGGUAGAAUUCCAGGUGUAGCGGUGAAAUGCGUAGAGAUCUGGAGGAAUACCGAUGGCGAAGGCAGCCAUCUGGCCCAAUACUGACACUGAGGUGCGAAAGCAUGGGGAGCAAACAGGAUUAGAUACCCGUGUAGUCC